GACGAGUGGUCCUAGCGUUAGUCGGAAUCACUGGGCUUAAAGGGUGCGUAGGUGGACUCGUAAGUGCCUUGUGAAAGCCCCCGGCUCAACCGGGGAACUGCAGAGCAUACUGCGAGUCUUGAGGUAACUAGAGGCCGGUAGAACGAUAGGUGGAGCGGUGGAAUGCGUAGAGAUCUAUCGGAAUGCCGAAGGUGAAGACAGCCGGCUGGGGUUUACCUGACACUGAGGCACGAAAGCGUGGGGAGCAAACAGG
rnacentral:rRNA from 1 species